AACCAAAGAUCCUACAGGAUCCAUGAAAUUAUCCAGGAUUAAAGCGAAUUGUGUCACAAAGGAAACCCUUUGGUGCCCUGCUGGAGUUUGCUCAGGUGCUUGGGAGCAGAAGGCAGCAGCCUGGGCACAGCAGGGCUCACACAACGGGCACCCUCUCGUGGCUUUGUCCUGUCACAGGGCUGAUUCAUCCACCUUGAAAAGCCACUUCAAGGUGCAGGUUUGGACCUCUUCUUGGGACAAUCUUUGAUUUUCCUGAUGGUCUCCAGGACUUUGCAGGAUCUCUGGAGGACGUGAUUGUGCUCUGGAAGGAUCAGUGGGGGCCACACUGAAGUGACCAUGAAAGUAACAGUGACAGUGGAGAUGACUCAGUGUGACAAAUCUGCUCCUGAACUACCCCAAAAAUCUGCAUUUUGGGAGCCUCCUCUCUUGCUGGGCACCAUUAACUGCUGCACUCUGGAACUGCAGAAUUGGACAGAAAUUAAAAUUUUCCCUUUUUUCCUGCCUCUGAAUGAUACUGAGCAGCUGCUCUUCAUUCUCUCCACCCUGAGGCCAGAGCUGCUCUUCCUUCUCAUUCAGCUUCUCAAGGCAAGGCAUCACUUUCAUAUUCCUGCACUUCAUGUCUGAUUUUUCCAGAAUGAGCAAAAAAAUACAGGUUUUAACAGCACUCUGGUGAGUUACAGAGUAUUCACAGGGUAAUCCAUAUUUUAUCUGUAU